rnacentral:rRNA from 1 species
GAUGAACGCUGGCGGCGUGCCUAAUACAUGCAAGUCGAGCGAACAGACGAGGAGCUUGCUCCUCUGACGUUAGCGGCGGACGGGUGAGUAACACGUGGAUAACCUACCUAUAAGACUGGGAUAACUUCGGGAAACCGGAGCUAAUACCGGAUAAUAUAUUGAACCGCAUGGUUCAAUAGUGAAAGACGGUUUUGCUGUCACUUAUAGAUGGAUCCGCGCCGCAUUAGCUAGUUGGUAAGGUAACGGCUUACCAAGGCAACGAUGCGUAGCCGACCUGAGAGGGUGAUCGGCCACACUGGAACUGAGACACGGUCCAGACUCCUACGGGAGGCAGCAGUAGGGAAUCUUCCGCAAUGGGCGAAAGCUCGACGGAGCAACGCCGCGUGAGUGAUGAAGGUCUUCGGAUCGUAAAACUCUGUUAUUAGGGAAGAACAAAUGUGUAAGUAACUAUGCACGUCUUGACGGUACCUAAUCAGAAAGCCACGGCUAACUACGUG